ACCCCACUGCUAUCGGGAUAGGACUAAGACAUGCUAGUCGAGUGACUCAGGCAAAACGAGUCACGGCACACAGCUCAGUAACACGUGGCUAAUCUGCCCUUGGGACUAGAACAACCCCGGGAAACUGGGGCUAACUCUAGAUAGGUGAAGAACUCUGGAAUGAGUCUUUGCCUAAAUAGGUUCACGUUAUCCUCGUGAACUUGCCCAAGGAUGAGGCCGCGACCGAUCAGGUUGUUGGCGAGGUAAUGGCUCACCAAGCCUUUUACCGGUGCGGGCCGUGGGAGCGGGAGCCCGGAGAUAGGUACUGAGACAAGGACCCAGGCCCUACGGGGCGCAGCAGUCGCGAAACCUUUGCAAUACACGAAAGUGUGACAGGGCUAUCCCGAGUGCCAUCCGCUGAGGAAGGCUUUUACCCAGUCUAGAACGCUGGGGGAAUAAGGAGAGGGCAAGUCUGGUGUCAGCCGCCGCGGUAAUACCAGCUCUCCGAGUGGUGUGGAUGUUUAUUGGGCCUAAAGCAUCCGUAGCUGGCUAGGUAAGUCCCUUGUUAAAUCCACCGAAUUAAUCGUUGGAUCGCGGGGGAUACUGCUUGGCUAGGGGACGAGAGAGGCAGACGGUAUUCUCGGGGUAGGGGUGAAAUCCUAUAAUCCCGGGAAGACCACCAGUGGCGAAGGCUGUCUGCUAGAACGCGCCCGACGGUGAGGGAUGAAAGCUGGGGGAGCGAACCGGAUUAGAUACCCGGGUAGUCCCAGCUGUAAACGAUGCAGACUAGGUGUUUGAACGGCCACGUGCCGUUCUAGUGCCGCAGGGAAGCUGUUAAGUCUGCCGCCUGGGGAGUACGAUCGCAAGAUUGAAACUUAAAGGAAUUGGCGGGGGAGCACCACAAGGGGUGAAGCUUGCGGUUU
rnacentral:rRNA from 1 species